rnacentral:rRNA from 1 species
AUACGGAGGGUGCAAGCGUUAUCCGGAAUCAUUGGGUUUAAAGGGUCCGCAGGCGGACUAAUAAGUCAGUGGUGAAAUCCUCUCGCUUAACGAGAGAACUGCCAUUGAAACUGUUAGUCUUGAAUUCGGUCGAAGUAGGCGGAAUGUGUCAUGUAGCGGUGAAAUGCAUAGAUAUGACACAGAACACCGAUAGCGAAGGCAGCUUACUAGACCUGGAUUGACGCUCAUGGACGAAAGCGUGGGGAGCGAACAGGAUUAGAAACCCUUGUAGUCC